GAUGAACGCUGGCGGCGUGCCUAAUACAUGCAAGUCGAGCGAACAGAUGAGGAGCUUGCUCCUCUGACGUUAGCGGCGGACGGGUGAGUAACACGUGUAUAACCUACCUAUAAGACUGGGAUAACUUCGGGAAACCGGAGCUAAUACCGGAUAAUAUAUUGAACCGCAUGGUUCAAUAGUGAAAGACGGUUUUGCUGUCACUUAUAGAUGGAUCCGCGCCGCAUUAGCUAGUUGGUAAGGUAACGGCUUACCAAGGCAACGAUGCGUAGCCGACCUGAGAGGGUGAUCGGCCACACUGGAACUGAGACACGGUCCAGACUCCUACGGGAGGCAGCAGUAGGGAAUCUUCCGCAAUGGGCGAAAGCCUGACGGAGCAACGCCGCGUGAGUGAUGAAGGUCUUCGGAUCGUAAAACUCUGUUAUUAGGGAAGAACAAAUGUGUAAGUAACUAUGCACGUCUUGACGGUACCUAAUCAGAAAGCCACGGCUAACUACGUG
rnacentral:rRNA from 1 species